AACAAACGCUGGCGGCGUGCCUAAUACAUGCAAGUCGAACGGGGAAAGCUUUCGGGUGAGUACUAGUGGCGCACGGGUGAGUAACGCGUGGAUAAUCUGCCUUAGAGUGGGGGAUAACUAGUCGAAAGAUUAGCUAAUACCGCAUAAGACCACAAGAACUGCGGUUCAAGGGGUCAAAGGUUUUUCGCUCUAAGAUGAGUUCGCGUAAGAUUAGCUAGUUGGUAGGGCAACGGCCUACCAAGGCGACGAUCUUUAACUGGUCUGAGAGGAUGAUCAGUCACACUGGAACUGAGACACGGUCCAGACUCCUACGGGAGGCAGCAGUAGGGAAUAUUGCACAAUGGAGGAAACUCUGAUGCAGCGACGCCGCGUGAGUGAUGAAGGCCUUCGGGUCGUAAAGCUCUGUCGCAGGGGAAUAACACAAUGAAGGUACCCUGUAAGAAAGGAUCGGCUAACUUCGUGCCAGCCGCCGCGGUAAGAC
rnacentral:rRNA from 1 species